AUUUUCCAAAAAAUAUUUUCUGGACACUUACAAUAUUUUCUGGGUUUGAAGAACAGCCGGUCAAUGCCGGUCAACUCACUUUGACCUUAAAUAACUUUUGAUCCACAAUAGAUAUAGACCUUAUUCCUUUUGGAGGUUAAAGACCACAUAACAAGCUAUACCUAACAACUUUUAAACAACAAAAACAGUAAAUAAUCACAGAGAUAUAAG
rnacentral:lncRNA from 1 species